AGGAUGAACGCUGGCGGCGUGCCUAAUACAUGCAAGUCGAGCGGUAAGGCCCCUUCGGGGGUACACGAGCGGCGGACGGCUGAGUAACACGUAGGAACGUACCCCAAAGUGAGGGAUAAGCACCAGAAAUGGUGUCUAAUACCGCAUGUGAUCUAAGGAUUAAAGCUCCGGCGCUUUGGGAACGGCCUGCGUAAGAUUAGCUUGUUGGUGAGGUAAUGGCUCACCAAGGCGACGAUCUUUAGCUGGUCUGAGAGGAUGACCAGCCAGACUGGGACUGAGACACGGCCCAGACUCCUACGGGAGGCAGCAGUAGGGAAUUUUCCACAAUGGGC
rnacentral:rRNA from 1 species